GACAGAGGUGCCGAGCGUUAGGCGGAAUCACUGGGCUUAAAGCGUGUGUAGGCGGGUGCCUAAGUACCUUGUGAAAUCCCACGGCUCAACCGUGGAACUGCUGGGCAUACUGGGAGUCUUGGGCCAUUCAGGGGCAACUGGAACAAGCGGUGGAGCGGUGAAAUGCGUAGAUAUCGCUUGGAACGCCGAAGGUGAAAACAGGUUGCUGGGGAUGUGCCGACGCUGAGACACGAAAGCCAGGGGGAGCAAACGGGG
rnacentral:rRNA from 1 species